GGGGAAUAUUGGACAAUGGGCGCAAGCCUGAUCCAGCCAUGCCGCGUGAGUGAUGAAGGCCCUAGGGUUGUAAAGCUCUUUCGCCAGGGACGAUAAUGACGGUACCUGGAUAAGAAGCCCCGGCUAACUUCGUGCCAGCAGCCGCGGUAAUACGAAGGGGGCUAGCGUUGUUCGGAAUCACUGGGCGUAAAGCGCACGUAGGCGGAUCUUUAAGUCAGGGGUGAAAUCCCGAGGCUCAACCUCGGAACUGCCCUUGAUACUGGAGAUCUUGAGUUCGGGAGAGGUGAGUGGAACUGCGAGUGUAGAGGUGAAAUUCGUAGAUAUUCGCAAGAACACCAGUGGCGAAGGCGGCUCACUGGCCCGAUACUGACGCUGAGGUGCGAAAGCGUGGGGAGCAAAC
rnacentral:rRNA from 1 species